rnacentral:tRNA from 1 species
GGAAGGUUGGCGGAGUGGUCGAUCGCACCGCACUCGAAAUGCGGACUAGCCUUAUAGGUUAGCGAGGGUUCGAAUCCCUCACCUUCCUCCA